AAAAAAUCAAUUGUAGAACUGAAAUCAAUUGUAGCGCCCUCUAAUAUGGUUAAAAUGGUCAUGAAUGCAGUAUGUUUAUUGAUUGGUAGAACCCCAUCAUGGAAAGAGUCAAAGAAAUUACUUGGUGAUCCCAACUUAUUGAAGAAUCUUCAGACAUUCAACAAGGAUAAUAUAUCACCUGAGGUAAUAACAAAGCUACGGAAUGAAUACACAAGUGACCCAGAUUUUACUCAUGCAUUCGUAAAAAAAGUAUCAUCUGCUGCAUGUAAUUUAUGUUCAUGGGUAAUUGCUAUUGACAAAUAUGAUAGAUAUGUGAAAUCUUCUGGUGGAAAAUGAAUCAAAUUUUGACAGUGCAUAUAUGUGUGUGAGAAAAUGAACUAAACGAGAUCGUCGGGCUUAUUAUGGCACUAUUUGUUAUGUUUACUUACCAGUUACAAUUAUAGUCUUUUAUUUGUUGAUAUUACCCCUCAUCUAUUGUCGACAUCCAGUGGAGAAUUCCAAACAAGCAGGUGCCUUCAGCUUUCAAAGAGGUGUGCGUAUAUAUUUUGUCUUGAAGCUCCCUCUUUGACUCUUAGAUGAAGAACAGCAAUAAAAAGAUUUAAUCAAGUGCGUGUAUUGAUUUUAUGUUAUGAAUUUCAUGUGAACCCCUGGCCACUGGUUGACGGAAUAUAAAAAAACUCAGGGAAGGGAGGUUUAAAUGAAAGUCUAGUUAGAAUGGAUACAUCAUAUCCGCCUUUUACAUUUCAAGAGUGUGGAAUUGCUGAUGCAUUUUCCUUUAAAUUAUUAUUAUAUAUGUACUGAAAAAAUGUCAUUUACAUGAUUAAAUUCUAUAUUUAUAGAUUAUCGUUGGUUAUCUCAACGAGAUUGAUUUUCUCGCUUAAGCCGGUACGGCGAAAGCGAGAAUAGCAAUCGAGUUGAGAUGACCAAUGGUAAUCUGUUUAUCGCAAUUUUACCUAUGAAGACGUUGUUAAUUUCUUUGACAACGGCACGUGUUCCCUUAGUUUCUAGCGAUAAUUUUCAUAUCACUCGACUCCGCUGAAGACGGAAAUUAUCAGUCAGCAAGAUCAAAGGAAAAAUUCGUAAAAUAGCGAUAAAUAUAUAUAUU